UGGGGAAUAUUGCACAAUGGGGGAAACCCUGAUGCAGCGACGCCGCGUGAACGAAGAAGGUAUUCGUAUCGUAAAGUUCUGUCCUAUGGGAAGAUAAUGACAGUACCAUAGAAGAAAGCUCCGGCUAAAUACGUGCCAGCAGCCGCGGUAAUACGUAUGGAGCGAGCGCUGUCCGGAAUUAUUGGGCGUAAAGGGUACGCAGGCGGUUUAAUAAGUCGAAUGUUAAAGAUCGGGGCUCAACCCCGUAAAGCAUUGGAAACUGAUAAACUUGAGUAGUGGAGAGGAAAGUGGAAUUCCUAGUGUAGUGGUGAAAUACGUAGAUAUUAGGAGGAAUACCAGUAGCGAAGGCGACUUUCUGGACACAAACUGACGCUGAGGUACGAAAGCGUGGGGAGCAAACAGG
rnacentral:rRNA from 1 species